AAUUUCGUUAAUUUCCUUGUUUUUAUACAAUUAUUUCAAAUUUAGGAAAUUAAUUAUAAACCGUUUUUCGGAAAUUGCUGUUAAUUGUAUUAAAUAUUGGUAUAACGAUAGAUUAUUGGUAUAUAUAAUUAUAAAUAUAAAUGGUAAAUUUAGCAAAUUUAUAAUAAUGGCGAAAAUAAUUUUUCAUACAAAUUUUAUAUUAGACCCGUUUAUUAUAUUAUAAAUUUUAUUAACCAAUACGUUUCUUAUAUUAGGUGUAGAUUUAUUAGUGCCUAGAUGUUAGCGUAUAGCCCUAGGGGCUGGGUUUCGCUAAACCUGUAAAUUCGCGUUACGUAAACGCAAUAGGAACGCCGUUUAUAAAUAAGGGCUCCUAAAUCCUAAAAAUAGCAAAUUAAUUCUAAAUUUUUAAAAAUUAGUUUUUAAUCCAGAUGCUAUUAUUAUAAUGCUAUUGUGAAUUAUUAUGCGUUAUAUUAUUGUUUUAUAUUUUAUUAAUUACCGUAUAUUUAACCCAUACCCAAUUCCCGGUUAUAAUUAUUUUAAUCCUUCUUUUUGGAUUAUUUAUACGAUAACCGACAAUAAUCCAAGCGAAUUGUUAAAAAUUAUUAAAUUUGUGGUUAAUUUCGACGUUAAAAAGAAAAUAUGCCAAUUAAAACGUUAUAAAACAUUUAUGCAAAAAAGCUGGAUUUACAACGGGAAAUUAAAAAAUUUCAAAAACAAUUCCAAUUUUUUAUCCAAAAAAAACGCCAAUUUUUUGAAAAUAAAGGGAAAAAGGAAGUUGAAAAUCCCCAUUUUUUUAUUUUGGAAUUUAAUUUAUUUUAAAAAUAACGAAAUAAUUAAUUAUUAUAAAUAUAACGAAUAUUCAAAACAAUAUUUAAAAAAUAUUGCACAAAAAAAUGUAAGACUUUUUACGGGUUUUUAACCUUAUCGAUUACGUUUUGAAACCGUUAUAAUAUUUAUAUUUUGGGGUUUUUAAAAAGCGAACGUACCGUUACUAAAAUUAAUUGGAACAAUUUUGUUAAAUGGAUAAAAACGUUUAUUAAAAUUAAUAAAACCAAAAAGGAAAACGCUAUAUUAAAAUUGGAACAAAUUAAACAUUUUAUGGAAUAAUUUCCUUUUAAUUUCCAUAUUCAUUUUUUAAAUUUAAAAUUUUAUAUAAAUAGGAAAACCGAAAAAAACUAUUUUUUACGGUUUUUUAACAAAUUGGUACUUAAAUUGAAAAAAUACCUUGAUAUUUAUUGUAAUAUUAUAUUUUUUAUCCGAAAUAAAACGGUGGUUUGGAUAUAAAAAUAUUGCAAUAAUAUUAAAGGACGAAAACAAGGCGUUAAAAGCAAUUUAACAAAAUAAUCCUCCAGCAAAAAAAUUAAAAAAACCGAAAAAAAUGGGAACGGAAAGGACGGGAAAUCGCAAAUAAUUUAAAACAAUUUCUUUUAAUACAAAAAUAGAAAUAAAACCAAAAAAAGCAACGGAAAUUCCGGCGGAAAUCGGACAAAACGCAAAUUUAACGAAAAAGGGAAACGCAAAUCCGGGGGGUCCGAUAAUUUUAAAUAUUGGAAAAAUUAAAAAAAUAAAACCAUUGGAAAACCAAUUCGAUAUUACCGUUGUAAUAAUACUAUAUAUUUUGUUUAUUAAUAUUUGGAAAAGGUUUCGGGGUUAGGUAAAUAACAAACCAAAAUUUCGGAUUAAUCCAAAAUUAGGAAAAAGAUUAAAGUUUAAAUGGUUAAAAACAAAAAUACGCAAAAUAUUUUUUUUCGAAAACCUUUUAUUAUAUUUAAUAAGCCUAAUACCCCAAUUUUACCCCAACGUCCCAUAUUUUAAAUUUCGGUUCAUUUAUUAAAUAUACCAGGAAUUAUUACCCAAAUGGUUAUAAAUACGGGUGCAAAAAUUAAUUUAAUUAAUAAAACUUUUACGUUAUAAUAUUAAUUAUUUUUGCAAAUAUAUAAAAUACCAAUUAUUAUUAAUAUGGGAUAAAACGAAACUACCACCAAAAAAAUUUAUUUUGUACAAUUAUAAAUUAUUAAUUUUUGAAAUAUUUUUAAAAAAAUGGAACGUUUAUAUAUUAUUAUAUACAAAACAAAAGGAAAUUUUUU
rnacentral:sRNA from 1 species